UCUGUAACUGGCGGAGAAAAAAAGAAGCAGUUUAAUGAGCGUGUUCAUGUUGAAGGUUAUUUUAGAAAUAUCUAUUCAUUUAUUUGUACUGGGACGACACACUCCCAGCCUCAGCGCAACUGGUCCGGCUUCGUUAUGUAAGCUGGUGGCAGUCAGCCAGUCUCUCUCUCUCCCCAGACUUUUACCACGUCGUGUUUGUCAGUAAUGUUAAUUAUCUAUUCAGUUUUGUAAAAAAUAUUUAUUUUCAGUCCCAACUCAUGUGUGGUCUCCUCUUUUCAAACAGGGUUGCAACAAACUGGGGGCUUGUCUUAGAUCAAAUGAAUCAUUUGAGUAAUUGGACCCGGUUCGGUUGGUGUGGUUGCUACUUCCUGUCACAAUAGUCAGCGUUUUGGAUGAAACCCAAGCUAGUUUCAGACAUGCACUGAGGUCCGGACAUUUUCCAGAACUUUUCCUGGGUGAAUGGGGCUGACAGGGAAUGACCUGCCAAACUUCUGGUAAGUAAAUGACCCAGUCUACCUCGUGAGCCACAGCUGCCCUAGAACAGUUAGGGCAGUUUGUGUAUCAGGGUUUGUUUUGCUAUGCUUUAUAAGGUGUGAUGGAUCUAAUCACUACAUCUUUCCUUAAAUAAAUCAACGCAUAUCCAUUUAAUCACUAAUAUAGCCAUGUAUGGACACGGAGAACAACCCACAGGUUCAGUCCAGUGUUUGAUCAGAAUUCACAACAAGUAGCUCGACAGUGACUCACAGGACAGGCCAGGGUUGAGGUCGGCCACCUUGCCUUUCCUGCGGGACUGCUUCCUCUCCUCGUCUCGGAUCUUCCUCUCCGCUCCCUUGUCACAGAACACCUUGAUCUGGCAGAAGGCGCGGUGGAUGGGCUUGUUGCUGCGGUUGUUGUAGCUGUAGGUGUCGAUCUGCAGGUUCAGAGGGAGACCCUUCACCCCCUUCUGAGAGGAGAAGUCGGUGCUCAGACAGUUGACGGAGAUGAAGAUCUGGGGAGAAGAAGACAGGACCAAUAAGACAAAGACGAGACAACAAAGAGAAAAAAAUCUAAUUUCAGAAUUGAAAUGGAUUAUAAUUAUAAUAUUUGUCAAUUAAAAAGGCAACUUAUGUGACAAAUUCACUUAUUUCUAAAUCAUUACAACUUUUUACUUGUUCUCAUCAGUCUUUGUGAAACACUUGAGGCAGCAGUGUAUUCUGUGAUCUGUGCUGCCCUCUAUUGAGUGACUUCAGUCAUUACAGGCUUUUUGAACUGGAGACAAUCUUCUGUUCACCUGGGGCCUGAACUAUACAGCAAGGUCUGAGGUUAGAGAGGUAAGGCCAGGUUAAACUGGGAUUUCAGGGCUAAAGUCAGUCUUCAUUUCUACAGGAUCCUGUAGAAAUAAUUAAUUAAAGGGAAAUGGCAAUUUUACAUAUCGGGGCAUUUUUCCACAACCCAAACAAACUGAGGGAGAGUUUAUCACAAUAAAUAUAAACAUAACAACGAUUUCAUAUCAAACUGACUUCUCUGAAAUUAUUAAUAAUUUGUACUAUUUUAUCGCUGUUAUUCUAUAACAUUAGGAGACUCUCUGAUGAUAAUUUGAAAAAAAAAAGCUAACGGAACUCAUUAAAAAAUGAUCACAGGGCUCAUCAUUAUAUAUGAAUAUUAUAAUUUUAAACUCAUCAGAUAUUAACUACUUUUUCUUCUCUUGCUUCUGCAUUACAUGUUCAUGACAAUUUGUUCAUCAUCAGACAAAGGAGCAAUCCUUCGUUGAAUGUUGCUUUUGGACGUUGCUACAACUGAAUUUAUUUUCAGAUAUCAGUGUUUCCUCUCAUAUAAUAUUGAAUCUUUUAUUAAUGAUGAGUAACUUUCUUUUAUAUAAAUGAGCUCGUAGCAACGUUUAACGGAGCCAGUUCGUAACCAGCUUUCUGAUGCAGGUUAACUUAUCCCAAGGCGGCUGAUGUUAGGUUCAGUGAAGCCAGAUAAACAAAAGAUAUCCUGGCCGUGUCGAACUUCCUUUGUAGAACAGGCCUCUGGUGCUUGUAUUGAAAACAGGUUGUCAUUAUGUCAACAAAACAGUCUCAGAACAGACGGUUUGAAACAACUAACGGACGAGCAGGUCACACUGAUAUCAGUCAUACUCAAAUGUAUUUGUAUUAUUUCACAAGAAUCAUGCAUUUAAAAAAAAAAAAAAAAAGUCGAUAAAGAUUAUUGUGCGCCCGGAGAACAAUGCACGCUCUAUUCGUUGAAACAUAACUUUAUUUAUAUGGAAUGUGGAGACAAGCUGAGGAAUCCAGUUAAUCAUGCUGAUGUAAAAUAGUUAAUGUCUGGGAAUGAUUGUUUUGGAGGAAGAGUAUUUUAACAGAAUUUACAGGCAUAUCCAGACUUUAAAUGAAUAAAGCACAAUAAAUACAUAUUUGAAUUUUAA